rnacentral:rRNA from 1 species
AACGCGUGGGAAUCUGCCCUUGGGUACGGAAUAACUCAGAGAAAUUUGUGCUAAUACCGUAUAAUGUCUUCGGACCAAAGAUUUAUCGCCCAAGGAUGAGCCCGCGUAAGAUUAGCUAGUUGGUGAGGUAAAAGCUCACCAAGGCGACGAUCUUUAGCUGGUCUGAGAGGAUGAUCAGCCACACUGGGACUGAGACACGGCCCAGACUCCUACGGGAGGCAGCAGUGGGGAAUAUUGGACAAUGGGCGAAAGCCUGAUCCAGCAAUGCCGCGUGAGUGAUGAAGGCCUUAGGGUUGUAAAGCUCUUUUACCCGGGAUGAUAAUGACAGUACCGGGAGAAUAAGCUCCGGCUAACUCCGUGCCAGCAGCCGCGGUAAUACGGAGGGAGCUAGCGUUGUUCGGAAUUACUGGGCGUAAAGCGCGCGUAGGCGGUUUUCUAAGUCAGAGGUGAAAGCCCAGUGCUCAACACUGGAACUGCCUUUGAAACUGGAAAACUUGAAUCUUGGAGAGGUCAGUGAAAUUCCGAGUGUAGAGGUGAAAUUCGUAGAUAUUCGGAGG